UACGAAGGGGGCUAGCGUUGCUCGGAAUCACUGGGCGUAAAGGGUGCGUAGGCGGAUCUUUAAGUCAGGGGUGAAAUCCUGGAGCUCAACUCCAGAACUGCCUUUGAUACUGAGGAUCUUGAGUACGGGAGAGGUGAGUGGAACUACGAGUGUAGAGGUGAAAUUCGUAGAUAUUCGCAAGAACACCAGUGGCGAAGGCGGCUCACUGGCCCGUUACUGACGCUGAGGCGCGAAAGCUAGGGUAGCAAACGGG
rnacentral:rRNA from 1 species